rnacentral:tRNA from 2 species
UCUUCCGUAGUAUAGUGGUUAGUAUAUGAGCUUGUCAUUCGACAUCGCUCGGGACCCGGGUUCAAUUCCCGGCGGGAGAG